AGCUCCAAUAGCGUAUAUUAAAGUUGUUGCAGUUAAAAAGCUCGUAGUUGGAUUUUUGGUUUGAAUGGCCGGUCCUUCACAUGUAUUUGUGAUGUGUACUAUGGCUUUUUGGAUCAUAUUUUGUGAGGAGGUUUAACUGUCAUUAAGUUGAUGGUUUUAUCGACUUGCAUCUUUUACUGUGAAAAAAUUAGAGUGUUUAAAGCAGGCGUUUGCCAAAUUUUGAAUACAUUAGCAUGGAAUAAUAAGAUACGACUUUGGUGGUCUAUUUUGUUGGUUUGCACACCAGAGUAAUGAUUAAUAGGGACAGUUGGGGGUAUUCAUAUUUCAGCGUCAGAGGUGAAAUUCUUGGAUCGCUGAAAGAUGAGCUUAGGCGAAAGCAUUUACCAAGGAUGUUUUCAUU
rnacentral:rRNA from 1 species